UACGUAGGGUGCGAGCGUUGUCCGGAAUUAUUGGGCGUAAAGGGCUCGUAGGCGGUUUGUCGCGUCGGGAGUGAAAACUCAGGGCUUAACCCUGAGCCUGCUUCCGAUACGGGCAGACUAGAGGUAUGCAGGGGAGAACGGAAUUCCUGGUGUAGCGGUGAAAUGCGCAGAUAUCAGGAAGAAUACCAAUGGCGAAGGCAGCUCUCUGGGACGGUACUGACGCUGAGACGCGAAAGCGUGGGGAGCGAACAGG
rnacentral:rRNA from 1 species